UACGGAGGGGGCUAGCGUUGUUCGGAAUCACUGGGCGUAAAGGGCGUGUAGGCGGUCCGCUAAGUCUGAUGUGAAAGCCCGGGGCUCACCCCCGGAAGGGCAUUGGAAACUGGCGGACUCGAGUCCCGGAGGGGAAGGUGGAAUUCCUGGUGUAGCGGUGAAAUGCGUAGAUAUCAGGAGGAAUACCGGUGGCGAAGGCGGCCUUCUGGACGGUGACUGACGCUGAGACGCGAAAGCGUGGGGAGCAAACAGG
rnacentral:rRNA from 1 species